UAAUUAUAAAAUGAUGAAAAGGUAAUAAUAGAAGUAGCCUCAGGUUAUUAUGAGAGCUCCGAUAGUGGUCACCAUGCUGAACUGUCAGGGAUCAUGAAAGCUUGAGAUGGUGGCUAGGAAUGAUCUGGCCCCUGUCUACUUCUUCAGCCUUACCUAAUUCCACUCUCCACUAUGCUGUGGCUGCACAGACUGCUUCUUUUGUUCUUCUCACAUGCCAUAUCCUUUCCUGGUGUAGAGCCUUUACUGCUACUGUCCCCUCUGCCAGGAGUACUCCUGUUCGUGGCUUGGCUGCCUCCCUCAUUCUUUAUUUGCAUUCAGUGCUGUUUUCUGGGAGAGGCCUCUCCCAACCACCCUAGCUAAAGCACCCUAUGUUAAUUAGGGUAGGUUAAGCUAUGGUGCACAAUGCCUUAAGGACAAUGAGGUUCAUUUGUCACUCAGAAUAGCCAUGGUGGGUGUUCCUGGUUGGCAAGUGACUCUCUUGAUGCAAGGAUUCAAGGCUCCCUCCUGUGGUCCUGCCUUCUCCUUGGGCUUUCUUGUUGCCGACAUCUCACAUGCCCAUGUAUAUAAAAGUUUGAUCUAGAAAUGGUGUAUAUCACUU
rnacentral:lncRNA from 10 species